CUAACACUGCCACUAUACUCUUGUGUCGUCUCUCCACAAUAUUUGUAUAUAGUCGUCAUUGUUGGGAUGUAUGGAGCACCGCCCAAGCAGCUUCGGAUUUGCUCGGAGCAACGCGAACGGAUGGUGUUCCUCAUCACGGCAAUGUAAAGCUUCCUUAUGAACGGGCUCCAAGCUGCAACGGCAACGGAUGAGUUUUCCAACUCGUGCACCGGUUCCACUUUGAAUGAGGGCUCGAACGAGAAGAGAAAGAGAUGGUGACAUACUAAGAACAGUCAUAGAUCACCAUCAGAACCUGUGGUCCCGUUCACUUGCCUCGACACGAUUUUAGGAGGUAACGAUGGAUUACGGGUUGACACUAUUAUGACCCUCAACAUCAUCACCUCCUCCUCCUCCUCAAGCACAAAGUAUGUAUGCAGAGCAAUUGUUUCAAUCCAUUGGUGCUCACGAAACUGCUGUAAAAGUUUCUAAUGUAUUGAACAACAGCUGGUACAAGCAGAAACGAAACAAAAAUCGAUCUGAUUCUUCGACUCGAAACCUUUUGAUAAAAUUUUCCUCUCGAGACUUGUUAAAACGCAUUUGAUGUUAGCUAUGUAUUUAUCAGGAUCUAGACUCUCUCCUUUCGUUUCCUUCUACAUAAAGCCCCCUCGCAUCGAAAGUGCUUGAAACUAUCGGUCUUAUCCUGUGCUUCAUUAGGUCCCAGGAGAAUCAACCCUAAUUUUUUACCCU